rnacentral:rRNA from 1 species
CCUGGUAUGAGUAGCGAAAGAGGGGUGAGAAUCCCCUCCACCGAAUGCCUAAGGUUUCCUGAGGAAGGCUCGUCCGCUCAGGGUUAGUCGGGACCUAAGCCGAGGCCGAAAGGCGUAGGCGAUGGACAACAGGUUGAUAUUCCUGUACCACCUCCUCACCAUUUGAGCAAUGGGGGGACGCAGGAGGAUAGGGUAAGCGCGGUAUUGGAUAUCCGCGUCCAAGCAGUUAGGCUGGGAAAUAGGCAAAUCCGUUUCCCAUAAGGCUGAGCUGUGAUGGCGAGCGAAAUAUAGUAGCGAAGUUCCUGAUUCCACACUGCCAAGAAAAGCCUCUAGCGAGGUGAGAGGUGCCCGUACCGCAAGCCGACACAGGUAGGCGAGGAGAGAAUCCUAAGGUGAUCGAGAGAACUCUCGUUAAGGAACUCGGCAAAAUGACCCCGUAACUUCGGGAGAAGGGGUGCUCUGUUAGGGUGCAAGCCCGAGAGAGCCGCAGUGAAUAGGCCCAGGCGACUGUUUAGCAAAAACACAGGUCUCUGCGAAGCCGUAAGGCGAAGUAUAGGGGCUGACGCCUGCCCGGUGCUGGAAGGUUAAGAGGAGCGCUUAGCGUAAGCGAAGGUGCGAAUUGAAGCCCCAGUAAACGGCGGCCGUAACGAUAACGGUCCUAAGGUAGCGAAAUUCCUUGUCGGGUAAGUUCCGACCCACACGAAAGGCGCAACGAUCUGGGCACUGUCUCAACGAGAGACUCGGUGAAAUUAUAGUACCUGUGAAGAUGCAGGUUACCCGCGACAGGACGGAAAGACCCCGUGGAGCUUUACUGCAGCCUGAUAUUGAAUGUUGGUACAGCUUGUACAGGAUAGGUAGGAGCCUUGGAAACCGGAGCGCCAGCUUCGGUGGAGGCAUCGGUGGGAUACUACCCUGGCUGUAUUGACCUUCUAACCCGCCGCCCUUAUCGGGCGGGGAGACAGUGUCAGGUGGGCAGUUUGACUGGGGCGGUCGCCUCCUAAAAGGUAACGGAGGCGCCCAAAGGUUCCCUCAGAAUGGUUGGAAAUCAUUCGCAGAGUGUAAAGGCACAAGGGAGCUUGACUGCGAGACCUACAAGUCGAGCAGGGACGAAAGUCGGGCUUAGUGAUCCGGUGGUUCCGCAUGGAAGGGCCAUCGCUCAACGGAUAAAAGCUACCCCGGGGAUAACAGGCUUAUCUCCCCCAAGAGUCCACAUCGACGGGGAGGUUUGGCACCUCGAUGUCGGCUCAUCGCAUCCUGGGGCUGUAGUCGGUCCCAAGGGUUGGGCUGUUCGCCCAUUAAAGCGGUACGCGAGCUGGGUUCAGAACGUCGUGAGACAGUUCGGUCCCUAUCCGUCGCGGGCGCAGGAAAUUUGAGAGGAGCUGUCCUUAGUACGAGAGGACCGGGAUGGACGCACCGCUGGUGUACCAGUUGUUCUGCCAAGGGCAUCGCUGGGUAGCUAUGUGCGGACGGGAUAAGUGCUGAAAGCAUCUAAGCAUGAAGCCCCCCUCAAGAUGAGAUUUCCCAUUCCGCAAGGAAGUAAGAUCCCUGAAAGAUGAUCAGGUUGAUAGGUCUGAGGUGGAAGUGUGGCGACACAUGGAGCUGACAGAUACUAAUCGAUCGAGGACUU